GGUGACCAAGUUUCCCAUUAUGCAGAUAAAAUCAACAGAAGAGAAUAUUUCUGAUCAGACGUAAAAGAGUCUAUCUGUAUUAAGGUCUCUCUUUUUAUGUUAAUGCUAGUCAGCUGUGCCUAAAUUCCAAUGGGAGGAGGGUAUAAUGAGGCAUGUCUGAACCUCACUUCACAUCAUGGCUUGAACUAGCUUUUCAGGUUAACUUUGGAAUGCCCUUGGCCAAGAGGGUGGGGUCCAUUGGCCAGUUGUGGACUUAGAAUUUUAUUUUUGGUUUAUGUUAGUAUUAGUCACACCCAGCUCUUUUGAUUUUACUCUUUUUCCCUUUUCCCCCUCUUUCUGGUUCCAAAGACAGCUUUCCUGCAGCACUUCCCUUAUUUUGAAAUUAUUUUUACAAGUCUGUGUUUCCUACAAGGGUAAACUCCUGAAAGACAUGGUCUUUUUUUCUUUUAACCUGGAAAUGGCUCCUAGGCACAAUUAAGACAAGACUAACUCAUUAAUAUGCCUAAAGGAAGAGUCCAGAAGGGGUGUAAGGGGCAUAGAUAUUCACAGAAAGCAGAGACAGAGAAAACACACAAAAAAAUGUUGACCCUCUCAGAUGAGGAGAGGUUCUUUCUGACUACCUCAAGCUACCUUAUUACUUUUUUAAUUUGUAGAGAUGAGGUUUCACUACAUUGCCCAGGCUGGUUGAACUUCUGGGCUCAAGCGAUCCUCCCACCUCAGCCUCCCAAGUAGCUGGGAUUAUAGUAAGUGUGCACCACAAACACAUGGCUAAUUGUUUAAUUUUUUUUUUGUGGAGGUGAGGGUCUCACCGUGUUGCCCAGGCUGGUCUUGAACUCCUGGGGUCAAGUAAUCCUCUCACCUCAGCCUCCCAAAGUGCUGGGAUUUACAGGCAUGAGUCACUGCACCUGGCCUUAGAAUAGGAAUGUUUCUCAAGAACCACAGAUCCCUGCCACUUCAAUCAUUUGAUGACUGAGCGAAUGUCUCUCAAAUUUAGAGCCUCCUUUGAAGACCUGCCUGGGAGAAACGAAUGGGUCUACUUUGCAAAAAGGAGCUAUGAUUCCUGUGGUGAAUAGGAAAAUCAAUCAGCAUUUCUGUUUGUACACUGGCUUAGGGAAAGGCAACUGAGUCCCUACAAGUUGGUUCUGCCCACCUUCUGUUGACAUACACCAGUCUGUGAGUCUUCAAUGACUUCAGUAACCUCACUGAGGGAGCUGGCCCCAUGUCACUAUCAUGACAGUUAGCAGAUCUUUCUAAAAAAAAAAAAAAAAAACAAAACCAUGCUGGAUCUGAUUUUUCCACUCAAGAAGUGCUUUUGGGGCCUUAUCAGUCUUUCCAUUUCUCCAGAAAGCACUACAAACAAUAGUAGCAGUUUCCUUUUUUUGAAAAUUUACUCUGUGCCAGGCACAUAGUUUUGUUCCUGCCCAGAAUACCCUAUCAGUCUAUUUCAACCCUAGCCAUCCUUUAAAGCCAACCAUUUGUUUACUUACUCAACAUUUACCCAGCACUUUCUAGACGCCAAUAUAUGUGGCAAUGUUGAGUUGAGUGAGACGCAGCUACAGUCCUCAGGAGCUCACCGUGUAAUGAGGCAGAAACAGAAACUCUCUAAUGAAAUAGUGCAUAAUGAUAGAGAGACGAACGGGAUCCUGUGGGAUACAGAGGGUCAUAUAACCCAGCUUUGCAAGGGAGGCUGAUUCGAGAGGCUUCGUGGAGGAGGUGACACAUGAGCUGAAUAGGAGAGAGACUGUGGAGAAAGGCAUCCUUGAUCAAGUUAGCAAGUGGAAAACCACAGUGUGUGCAGGGUAAAAUGAGCAGUGGUUCCACAUGUUUAUGGAGGACAGGUAAAAAGCCAGAGUCUACAUCCCAGAGGGAGAGAAGAGAUUCAACUGUUCCCCCAGUCUUACUUUCCAUGCAACUUGUGUGGUGUGAGCAUCCUGCCUCUGCACUUAAAGUGCCUAAAAGAUACAUCAUUAUAUGAAAUAUCUUCCAAGUACAAGCCUGCUGUUUCAUCUUUGGGGACAACCAAAGAAACAGAAAUCUGCCCCAGUAUUGGAGGGAAAACUAAUCAUGCUAGCCCUUUGUAGAGAUGCAGGAGGAAGACUGUGUACCUGAUGAGCAUUUAAAGGAUUUUCUCAGGUAAUUUAAAUGUUGCACAUCUUUGCUUAGACUUCAGAGCCAACCUCCUCCCGCUGCCAUGCAGUUCAAGGGCUUGUCGAUGUGUUCACCUGCAUUUUGAAAUUUUUCCCAAUGAGACUGUUAAUUGUAUUGAGGAUGGGUCCUAUCCCUGAGACAAUGCACUUGCAUUUUUUCUGUAGAAGAAAUCCUCUAGAAUGCACAGUAGGCUGACUGGUUUUGAUGAGAUACCAGUGAGGGUGGCUUUAAUUUAAGCAACAUGUAUACAAUAACAUAUUCCACCAGAACUAGCAAUAUUGUCAGGUUACAGGUUUUCAGGGCUCAGGAUACCACUAGUGGCCCACUUGCAGGGUCAGAACACACACUGGAAGUUCCCAAUUGCUUCUUCAUUUACACAAGUUCUGUAGAAGAAACUAUCAAUGACAAAGCAGUGACAUAUGGUGGUGAAGACACUCCCUGCACCAGACUAAAAGUUUCAGUACCACGGCCAGGUGGGGAAUUAAAAGAAGGAAAAACCUUGUAAACUUGAUGUUAGAGUCAGAGAAGGGAUGAUCCAAUGCCUACAAUAUGAGCUGAGGGCCAAGAAUAUUUAUUAUUUCUUUUACUGUUAGUUCAAAUGUGAAUUUCCUCUGCUCAACUCCAGACACUCAACUCCAAUUUUCUGACAGUAACCAUUGUAAAAAAAUAUUGCCACCAUCUUUGUCUUUUGGGCUUAUAAGUGGACUAAGUUCUUAUGCUUGGUUAGGUAGAAUCUUUUCAGUGACCUGAAAAUGAAGGCAUAUGCAAAUAUCUUUAAAAUAGUCUUUUUGAAGCUGCACAGAAAGGAAGAGUCGAGAGAUCCUUCUGCGGUAGUAUUGAUUCCUCCCUCCCUCCCAACCAAGCCAGAUCUUCAGCAGGGAGCUGGAAUUGGGUUUCCAGAAUAAGAGGAUUGUAUCCUAACAGUUCUGGAACUACAUGGGGUGACAUUCUCAUUCAGGUGCCACCCAAGGUUUGAUGACAUCUGUAACAAGUCUGCUGAGAGGACAGCACAGAAGUCCCUUCAGAGGAAAAAGGCAAUAAGAAUGCAGCAUCAAGAUCCUGAUUUAUCGUGUUCGCAUUUACCUGCCAGUCUCCUUGGAUACGCCUCUCUGUUGCAGGGUAGGGGUUUUGGUUAGAAAUUCUGCUCACAUGCCGGGGUUGGUAGCUGCAUAAUUGAACAGCACAGAACUACCCAGGGAAGCUGGAGAAUGUUGAUUGCUCCCAGAUGGAUGGCCAGGGGGGCACCUGGAGGACCACAGGGUCUUAAAGGGCACUCAAAGCAAGCUACUGUUCUUCCUCACUUCUCACUGGAGCACAAGGUGUUUUGCUGCCUGCAGAAGGCAGAGAUUUGUCAGAACUCCCUUCUGACCUUUAUUAUUGAUGAAGCGAUAGCAGAUGGGUGGCCUACGUCUGACCCAACAGCUUACUAAUCCAUAUGUGCCCACUCUGCUUACUAAUCCAUACGUGCCUGCCUUCACUCUGCAUUAGGCCAAUUCACCCACCCAGGCCUGGGUGAAUGCAGGUCUAGACCAUUGUUUUGGAUUAUAGUAUCCCCCCAAAUUCACAUCAACCUGGGCCUCAGAAUGUGACCUUAUUUGGAAAUAGGGUCUUUGUAGAUGUGAUUAGUUAAGACGGGGCCAUUCUGGAUCAGGGUGAGCCUCAGAUUCAAUGACUAGUGUCUUUAAGAGAUAGCAGAGAGACAUUCAUGGAGAAGAAGCCAUGCCAAGAUGAGAGAAGAUUGGAGGGAUGUAGCUAUGAGCCAAGGAAGGCCAAAGCUUGCCAGGAGCCCCCAGAAGCCAGGGGAGAGGCAUGGAAUAGAUUCUCCCAGAAUCUUCCAGAAGGAAUCAACUCUGCUGACAACCUUGAUUUCGGACUUACAGCCUCCAGGACUGUGAGAGAAUGCAUUUCUUAGUUUUAGGCCAUCCAGUUUGUGGUAACUUGUUUUGGCAAUCCUAGGACACUAAUGCAACAGUCAAGGACAAUGAUGCUGCCAGGGGCUACAGAGUGAAAAUAAAGGGAAGGACAGAGCCAGGGACGCCCUGGUCCGCUCUAAACUCACCAGGAAGAUAAAUUACUUUUGAAGGGGAUCGGGGUGGGAACUUCAUGGAGCUCACUGAGGGGGAGACUUGAAGCAGGCCUUCCCCCAAUAUUAUCACUAAUAAAAAUCACACUGGAAGAGGAAAGCUUUCAUGAAAGCUUUAAUUUUGACUAAGCUAGAGUCCCUAUGGAAUGAACAUUCACUCGUACCUCUCUCCUCACUUGUUGGAAAAUAGGUAAAUGAGCUUAUCUCAAGUCCUUAAUUAGAACAUAACCACGUGCAAGGGAGAUCUCUUAUCAGCAUAGAUGUUUUUACCCACAGUUUAAUGUUUGUACUGUUAGUUUUGAGAAGACGACCACAACUAUUCAAAAGGACAUGCCAGACACCUUAGUAAGUCACAUGCAAAUUGGCUAAAAUUACUAAGGCAGGAAAGACCACUAAUAAAUGUUGCAUCUUCAACCACAAGUCUAGGUAUGGCCUAGUAAGUAGGAUUACUCAAUUAAGCAGAGCAAAUAUUUGCCUUGAAAAUUGUAGUUAAUCAAAUUCCACUUCUGUCCAAGCCAAACUGAGGGUAGAACCAAUUCCAGAUGACACAGAGCAGAGAGACGGAGUCUGGUGGCAUUGCCUGAGGCCUGAGUGAAGCUGUGCCUGAACCCAUCUCUGCCUACUGCCUUUUUAAAGAACUAGACAUCUGUGCAGAAGGCUGAGUUCAUCAUCAUCCUCAGAUCAUGGCACUGUAUGCAAAAUCUCUUCAUCUCUGAUUAACUCUUACCCUUCUCCCCUUUCCCCAUUUCUUCCUACGGGCAAUCACUCUAAUAUGGUUAAUAUGGGACUUUGUCUGCAGUGGUUGUAAGCAUUUCUAAUUUAUUCAAAUAAUUUUAUCAUAUCUUCUUUCUUUUACUUUUGUCACUGAGCACCAUGUCUCUGAGGUCUUUCCAUGAUGCUACUGUGGUUAACAGCUUUCUAACUGCUUCUCAUUACUGCAUACUUCUCCAUGGUGUGUAUUCACUGUGUUUUUUCAUAUCUAUACCCCGCAACCACCAUCACAAAAUCCCCUGACAGCAAUGAACAUGCUGUAUGUGUCUCCUGUGGAGCUAUGUAACAGUUUCCUUGGGUCAUAACAUUAGCAGUGGGAUUGCUGGGUCUGAGGAGACACUUGAUUUGACUAAGUGAUGGCUAAUUUCUCUGGGUAAUGGAUGUCAGUCUACUUUUCCAAUGGCGAGGGUUCUUGUAUCUGUAUUUGCCACCCAAGGGUUCUUGUAUCUCUGUUUGCCACUAGCACUUAACAUUAUUGAGGUUUCUAAUUUUUGCUGGUCAAAUUUUAAAAAGGUAAUAUGUCAUGUUUUUAUUUAUUUUUUUGAGACAGGGUCACACUCUGGAGUACAGUAGUAUGAAUAUGGUUCACUGCGGCCUUGACCCCCAGGGCUCAAGUGUUCCUCCCACCACAGCCUCCCCAGUAGCUGGGACCACAGGUGUGCACCACCACAUUCAGCUAAGUUUUAAAAUUUUUGUAGAGAUGGGGGUCUCAAUAUGUUGCCCAGGCAGGUCUCCAGCUCCUGGACUCAGACAGUCCUCCUGCCUAUGCCUCCCAAAGUACUGGGAUUAGAGGUGUGGGCCACCGCACCUAGUCUCAUAUUUUUUUAAUUGGCAUUUCAUUAAUUACGAAUAACUUGCAACAUCUCUCCAUAUACCUGUAAGUAUUUGGGGUUACCCCUUCUAUAAACUGCCUGUUCAUAUUCAUCACCCAUUUUUCUACUGGGGCUGCUUUCUUCUUGUUGGUUCACAAGUGUUCCAUAUGUAGUAUGGUAUUUAACCCCUUGUUGGUUUUAGAAAUUGAAGAUAUUUCCCUUUUUCUUUAAUCUACCCAUUAGCUUUGUCCACAGUGUCCUUUGUGGAUCAGAGAUCCUUAAUUUUAAUGGAAUUCUGGCCUGCAGAAUUCUAUUUUUUUUUCUUUUGGUCUGCAGAAUUCUAAAGAUGUCAUCCCAAGAUUUCGUUUCUCUGAUUAUCUAAUCAAACACUAACCUAGGUACUGCAGAGAAGAAACUUUGCUGAUUUAUAUAAGGUUAGGACUUUAAAAUGGAGAUUAUCCUGGAUAAUUUGGGUAAGCCCAAUCUCAUCACUUGAGUCCUUAAAAGCAGUGAAAUGUCUCCAGCUGGCAUCCAAGAGUUGUAGGAGGACAGAUGGAGAAGGAGCAAACAGAGGUGUGAAUCAUGAGAAGGGCUUGCCUGAAUGUUGCCGGCUUGAAAGACUGAGGAAGGAGGCCACGAACCAAGCAUUGGCUAUGGCCUCUAGAAGCUGGGAAGGGCCCCUGGGCUGGUAGCCAGCAAGGAAACAGGGGCCUUAGUCCCACAGUUGCCGGGAACUGAAUUUGGCCAACAACCGGAAGGAGCCCGGAAGCAGAUUCUCUUCCAGAGCUUCCAGAUAAGAGCCCAUACCAGCUGGCACCUUGAUAUUAGCCUGGUGAGAGCCUAAGAAAAGUGCCCAGCUGAGCCCACUGGGUUUGACCUGCAAAACUGUGAGAUAGUAAAUGAGAGUCAAUCAAUUUGUGAUAAUUUGUAUGGCAGCAAGAGGAAACUAAUAGAGAAAUCAUACUUGUCAAUCUUUUGCCUUAUGGUUUAUGUGUCUGGAUUUUUUUUUCAAGUUUUUUCUUACCCCUGUGCAUGCAUGAAUUUUCAGCCUUGUAGGGUGUUAUUGCCCCUGCCAUGAGGGUGAAAAUUGGUUCUUGGGAGGUGAAAAAAACCCAACUCUUUAAAGCACAGAUAUCUAUAUCUAUAUAUCUAUAUCUAUAUAUGCACAAUAUAUAUAUAAAUAGGAAACCAACAUAACUGGCAUUAACAUCCCCCCUGGAGGGUUACAUUUAGGAAGAAAAAGUCUUAAAUAAAUAAAAUGUAGAAGAAUAUCACUGUGACAUGGGGCCAGUGUUUUGCAACCUUCUUUUAAUUAUCACCUAAAACUCAUAAAAACUCCUAAGAAGUUUUUUUUAAGACUUUUUUUAAUCCCAGGAGAGUAGCUGGGAUUACAGGCGUGUGCCACCAUGCCCGGCUAAUUUUUGUGUUUUUACGAGAGACAGGGUUUCACCACGUUGGCCAGGCUGGUCUCGAACUCCCAACCUCAGGCUUUCCACCCGCCUCGGCCUCCCAAACUCCUGGGAUUACAGGUGUGAGCCAUGGCACUCGGACUUCUUGUGCUUUUUAUUUUGUAUUUUAUUAACAUUUGUGUUUACAAUUUCUUUUGAGGGUCAAGUGGUGAGUUGUGAAGAUGAUGUAUGAUGUGAUGGAGGAAAGUUCCAGGUCUAGACCUACAGACAGUCCUGGUAAAAUCAGUGAUGGAAAAUCACACAUAGGACCUGAAACUGAAGUCAUCAAUGAGGAAUUACAGUUUCUAUGGACUGAAUGCCUGUAUCUCUGGCCAAAAUUCACAUAUGAAGCCCUACCUAACCCCAGUGUAAUAGUAUCUGGAGGUGGGGGCUUUGGGAGGUGAUUAGGUCAUGAGGGUGGACCCCUCAUGAACGGGAUUCGUGUCCUUAUAAAAAUGGACACUGAGAGAGAUAAUCUCUCUCCCUCUGUUACAAGCGAAUACAGCAAGAAGGCAGCCAUUUGCAAACUCGGAAAAGAGUUCUUACCAUCUAUGCUGGCAUCCUGAUCUCAGACUUCCAGCCUCAAGAACUCUGAGGAAUAAAUGCUGUUUAAGCCACCCAAUCUAUGGUAUUUUUGUUAUAGCAGCCAGAAGUGACUAAGGCGACAGUCUUCAGGACACAGAGAAGCUGCUCCUUGUGAUGAAAGCCACUCUUCAAUGAGCUUUGUGCAGGCUGGUGAUCCACGUGGUCCUACCCCCCCUCCACCUGCCCCACCGUGUGUCUCUGUGGCAAACAACUCACAAGUGCAACAGUGGCCUGGCAGACUGAAAACACACUGACCUACAGGCCACUGCUAUUGGUAAGGAAAGAAAAUGCAAGAAUGCUUGGAAAAAAAAAGACCCAAAUACCAAAAUUUGGACAAACUAAACAAGUAAAAGAAGAAGUGGCAGAAAGAAAACUUAGACUUCUUGAAAUAAUUAAUGAAAGGAUGUUUUGAAAUAGCAAGUUUGUCCAGUAUAGGUAUAAUGAAAUUUGAUUUACCAAAAUUCCAUUUUUUUCCAAGAAUUUGUGGUAUAACAUGAAGCUUACCUUUCACAGCCAAGGCAAGGUCAUCCCCCCCUUGGAGGACAUGGUGCUGCUGAUGACUCUUGAGACAUCUCAACCUACAGUGGCUUCAAAACUUAUGCCUUCAGCUCUGCCUCCUCCCCACUCCCAAGCUUCAAACUCAAAUAUUCAGCUGCCUGCCUGUCUAUAGAUCCUCUUGGAUGUAUAAUAGCAUCUCAGCUCCAGCAUAACCAAAAGAUAACUCUUGAUUUUCACCCAAAUCUUGUUUUUGGUUUUUUUCCCCUUAGUCUUUACCACUUCCUUAAAUGGCAACACCUAUUCAAUUGCUCAAGC
rnacentral:lncRNA from 1 species